GACAGGGGAACUCAAGCAGCCCAACACGCCAAAAAGGAGAAGAGGUCCUCACAAAGUGGUGCCAACUUAGGUACCAAAGGUUGAUGAAGGAGUUCCAGCAGCCUCCACUACAGAUCAAAAGGGAGCUAGCUAUGCAGAGACAAUUAAACAGGAUCAACAACCAAUAGAGAGUGAAGAAAAGGAAGAAUUGAAAUCACAAACUAAUGACAAAUAACUAUUGAAAGGAAG
rnacentral:lncRNA from 1 species